GCCUGGGUGGCUCAGUCGGUUGAGCGUCUGACUUUGGCUCAGGUCAUGAUCUCAUGGUUCGUGGGUUCGAGCCCCACAUCAGGCU
rnacentral:tRNA from 1 species